GUCCAUGGCCAUGCCACCCUGAAUGCGUCUGAUCCCAUCUGCUCUCAGAAGCUAAGCAGGGUCGGGCUUGGUUAGUACUUAGAUGGGAGACCACCUGGGAAUACCGGGUGCUGUAGGCU
rfam:Pteropus alecto contig66715, whole genome shotgun sequence.